rnacentral:rRNA from 1 species
UACGUAGGGUGCAAGCGUUGUCCGGAAUUAUUGGGCGUAAAGAGCUCGUAGGCGGCUUGUCGCGUCGACUGUGAAAUCCCGCGGCUCAACUGCGGGUCUGCAGUCGAUACGGGCAGGCUAGAGUUCGGUAGGGGAGACUGGAAUUCCUGGUGUAGCGGUGAAAUGCGCAGAUAUCAGGAGGAACACCGGUGGCGAAGGCGGUUCUCUGGGCCAAUACUGACGCUCAUGCACGAAAGCGUGGGGAGCAAACAGG